CCUACGGGUGGCAGCAGUGAGGAAUAUUGGUCAAUGGGCGGGAGCAUGAACCAGCCAAGUCGCGUGAGGGAAGACGGUCCUAUGGAUUGUAAACCUCUUUAGGCGGGGAGCAAUGCCGGGCACGCGUGCCCGGAGGGAGAGUACCCGCAGAAUAAGCAUCGGCUAACUACGUGCCAGCAGCCGCGGUAAUACGUAGGGGGCAAGCGUUAUCCGGAUUUACGGGGUGUAAAGGGAGCGUAGACGGCUGUGCAAGUCUGAAGUGAAAGCCCGUGGCUCAACCGCGGAACUGCUUUGGAAACUGUAUAGCUUGAGUACUGGAGAGGCAGGCGGAAUUCCUAGUGGAGCGGUGAAAUGCGUAGAUAUUAGGAGGAACACCAGUGGCGAAGGCGGCCUGCUGGACAGAAACUGACGUUGAGGCUCGAAAGCGUGGGGAGCAAACAGGAUUAGAUACCCUGGUAGUC
rnacentral:rRNA from 1 species